UUUUCCCCAUACUGUUUUCAUGGAAGUGAAUAAGUCUCACAAGAUCUGAUGGUUUUAUAAGAGGAAACCCCUUUUGCUUGGCUCCAAUUCUUCUCCAUGCUUCCCCAUGUAAGAUGUGCCUUUCACCUUCUGCCAUGAUUAUGAGGCCUCCCGAGCCACGUGGAACUGGUCUUCAUUACUCCAGCCAAAAAAAUAGUAAUGAAAAUGGAAACACUUCAAGGUUUCUUUGAAGACUAGAAAUAAGUUGGUGAAGGAUAUGGCAUAUAACAGAGCUGGAACACCCUUCUUCUCCUGCCUUUGGACAUCAGAACUUCAGAUUCUCUGGCCUUCAGACUUCAAGACUUGCACUAGUGGCCCCCUGGGUUCUCAAGGUUUUGGCCGCCUCGGUUGAGAGUUACACCAUCGGCUUCUUUGGUUCUGAGGCCGUUGGAGUUGGACUGAGCCAUGCUACCAGCUUCCCUGGGUCUCCAGCCUGCAGAUUGCCUACUGUGAGAUUUAGCCUCCAUAAUCACGUAACAGAAUAUUGGCAUGUAGCACUCCUCAAAACAUAGAAAGCAGAAACAAAUCAAUUCUGCCUGGAGGACCUCCCCGAUCUCAACACCCAGUGGUUUUGACAGAAUUGAUAUAGAAAUAGAAGCUUCAAGCUUCCACCGAGGUGGGAAGGGCAGGUGUCACGAUGCCAUUUCAGAGGCAGCAACCACCAAGACAUGGCAGUGGUCUUCAUGCACCUUCUAUGGUAUCGGGCUUUGUGGCAAGUGCUUUUGUUACCUUAGCUGAUUUCAUCCCUGCAACAACCCUGGAGCAACCUUACGAUGGAGGCAGAAGAAGGAUUCUAUGGUUGGAAACCUGCCAGACUCACAGGCUACGGAGAAGAAAGGCUAAAUCCACCAGACUGUUGGAUGCACCUAAAACAAAUUGCCCUCCGUGGCUUGGUUUCUUAUUAAUAUACUCAUAGAAAUGCACAAGAACUGAAAGCUCGAUAGGGAAACCAAAAAAUAAAAAUUAAAAAAAAAAAGCUGUAAACCAAUGUUUCUUAAAACAUGCUCUGCAGAACACUCGUUUGGUGGAACGUAAAGUGUUCUUUCAUAUUAAAGGAGUUGCGUGUUAAUCGUGUUUCUCUGUCAUAGGACUCUCAUUGCAUUAAUAUGUCAGUUUCCAUUGUGAAUUUCUCAGGAGAGAGAGGCGAGUCUGUGAUAUUCCUCAAAUGCAUGAGGUCAUGGAAUCUAAGAGCAGAAGAGCAUUAGGAUAGCAGAACAGCUUUGAUAGCACAACAGCUCCUUGCAUGUGGUGGAAAUCACAAGUUCAGGGGGACAUUUUACUGGCUGUAUUGUCAGUAGGAUGAAUACUACACGCUGCAUCUUCUGAACUAUAAUACGGUAUCCCUGAGAAACAAAAUUAGAGGAAAUAUUGAUCACAUCUCACCAUUUCCAGCUAAAACUAAGAUGCAGAGUCUGCAAUGCCCCAAAAUAAAUGUGCUCAUUCCCUGAACACAUGGGGCCUUUGUCUUAUUUUGUCCUUUGUCUUAUUAUUU
rnacentral:lncRNA from 1 species